CUAGCCCCGAUAGAAGUGAAAAUCCUUUUGUGGCGGGGUUCGCCACAAAAGAUUGCAACGGAUAGCGGGAUUA
rnacentral:sRNA from 1 species